GCCCUUGUAGUGAAGUUCAUAGUGAGUUUCAAGCUCAUCGAUGCGUAUUGAUCUGCGCCGAGGUCU
rnacentral:tRNA from 1 species